rnacentral:rRNA from 1 species
GACGAACGCUGGCGGCGUGCCUAAUACAUGCAAGUCGAGCGGACCAAAGGGAGCUUGCUCCUGGAGGUUAGCGGCGAACGGGUGAGUAACACGUGGGCAACCUGCCUGUAAGACUGGGAUAACAUCGAGAAAUCGGUGCUAAUACCGGAUAAUAAAAAGAACUGCAUGGUUCUUUUUGUAAAGAAUGGUUUCGGUCUAUCACUUACAGAUGGCCGCGGCGCAUUAGCUAGUUGGUGAGGUAACGGCUCACCAAGGCGACGAUGCGUAGCCGACCUGAGAGGGUGAUCGGCCGACACUGGGACUGAGACACGGCCCAGACUCCUACGGGAGGCAGCAGUAGGGAAUCUUCCGCAAUGGACGAAAGUCUGACGGAGCAACGCCGCGUGAGUGAUG